CGGCCGCGUCGACAGAGGGAGCCUGAGAAACGGCUACCACAUCCAAGGAAGGCAGCAGGCGCGCAAAUUACCCAAUCCCGACACGGGGAGGUAGUGACAAUAUGUAACAAUAUACGGCCUUAUACGUCGUAUAAUUGGAAUGAGUACAAUUUAAAUCCCUUAACGAGGAACAAUUGGAGGGCAAGUCUGGUGCCAGCAGCCGCGGUAAUUCCAGCUCCAAUAGCGUAUAUUAAAGUUGUUGCAGUUAAAAAGCUCGUAGUUGGACCUUGGACCUGGACAGGCGGUCCGCCUCAC
rnacentral:rRNA from 1 species